rnacentral:rRNA from 1 species
AUUGAACGCUGGCGGCAGGCCUAACACAUGCAAGUCGAGCGGAUGAGGGAAGCUUGCUUCCCGAUUUAGCGGCGGACGGGUGAGUAAUGCCUAGGAAUCUGCCUAUUAGUGGGGGAUAACGUUCCGAAAGGAACGCUAAUACCGCAUACGUCCUACGGGAGAAAGUGGGGGAUCUUCGGACCUCACGCUAAUAGAUGAGCCUAGGUCGGAUUAGCUAGUUGGUGGGGUACGGCUCACCAAGGCGACGAUCCGUAGCUGGUCUGAGAGGAUGAGCAGCCACGCUGAAAUGUAGCUGCGGUCCAGACGCCUACGGGAGGCAGCAGUGGGGAAUAUUGGAAAAUGGGCGAAAGCCUGAUCCAGCCAUGCCGCGUGUGUGAAGAAGGUCUUCGGAUUAUAAAGCACUUUAAGUCGGGAGGAAGGGCUGCAGGUUAAUACCUUGCAGCCUUGACGUUACCGACAGAAUAAGCACCGGCUAACUUCGUGCCAGCCGCCGCGGUAAAAC